CUAAAGCCAAAUUAUAAUUAAAAGUUCAAAGAAGAAUUUGCUCAGUGUCUAUAAGAAGUAAAAAUGAAUGCUGUAAUGAUUCAGAAUAGAAAGAGGUCAAACGUCGAGGUUGGGCAGACUAAUUUCAGACGCACUGAUGCUCCACGGCAAUCUCUUGUCUUUAGCAGUACUCACAGUAUUCUUCUUAGGAUCUCCAAGGACCAAUUUUCCCCUAAAGUAUAGCUUCCUUUCUUUGAAUGUACCCCCAAAUGUUUACAUUUUGCUUCUAUAUCAUUUCUUGCCAAAGUCUACC
rnacentral:lncRNA from 1 species